UACGUAGGGUGCAAGCGUUAUCCGGAAUUAUUGGGCGUAAAGGGCUCGUAGGCGGUUUGUCGCGUCGGGAGUGAAAACCAGGUGCUUAACACCUGGCUUGCUUUCGAUACGGGCAGACUAGAGGUAUGCAGGGGAGAACGGAAUUCCUGGUGUAGCGGUGAAAUGCGCAGAUAUCAGGAGGAACACCGGUGGCGAAGGCGGUUCUCUGGGCAUGACCUGACGCUGAGGCUCGAAAGCGUGGGGAUCAAACAGG
rnacentral:rRNA from 1 species